UUUUUUGGAAAAGAUAAAAAUCGUAACAAUGUUUUUGCUGAGCGAUCAGUCUUCUGUAGCAGAGCUAACGGAGACUUGCACCGAGAGGGGGGAGGCGACUAUAAACAAGCUUCUAGCGCAAGUCAGCACUUGCUGCCAACACAAUCGAAUGGCGGGGGACGCUUUAAAGCCUACCAGUACCAACAGCACCGGCACGGCCGGGGGCUGGGCGAGCGUAGCUCGAGGUGACAACGGGGGAGGGAUGCCACAAUAAGCAAUCCGCAGCGGCUCCGCCUGUCCCACAGACUAAGUGGUUGUGGGUAGGAGACCCCUAUCUAAGAUAUAGUCGGGCCCGGUGUGAGAAGAUAAUCGUGGUAACAAGCGUCUCGUAGGGAACCUGGGGAAGGAUCAUUAACAAGUGACCCCGGUAAACCGGUAGACCCCACCAUGUCCCUUAUCUACUCUGAGUGGGUUGCCAGGGGGGGGCCCUCCACUCGCGGGCGGGGGCUCGGGGGUGGCCACUCAGAGACUCCAAACUAAGAACCCAGUUGAUGUAAAUUAAUUAAUAAAUUAGUUAUUUCUUCAACCAAUGUAUCUGUUGGUUCAGGCAUGAAGGACGAACGCAAAGAAGUGAAGUAAGUAAAGUUAAAGACUGCAUUCAAUGAUUCAUUGAAUCUUUGCACGCAUAUCGCCCCGGGUGUUAGUCGGGCGGGCAUGCCUGUUCGUCAGUCAUUAUAACCAGUCAAGCCUGGUAUUGGUAUUGAGCUGUGCGGUUUCCGCGGCCCAUAAACUCAGUGGGUCUUCCUCCGGCUAUCAGCGUAGUAAAUCUCCUCUAAAUAGUGUUCGUUCGGUUACGCGCCAGAACCCCCCAUUCUCAGGUGACCUCGAUCAGGUGAGUCCG
rnacentral:rRNA from 1 species